UGUUAUAUUUUGGUUAAUUAAUAUUGUGUUUCUUCAAAUGAAUCUUUAAUUAAUUCAACUUUGAUAUAAUUCUAAUUAAUAUUUUCUUUGGUGAUUUGAUUAUAAAGUGUCAGUUUUAGUUGAAAUGGACACCGGAAUAAGUGUAUCAACCAGACUAAAGGAAAAAUUGAGAGAACUCUCAAGGUCAACCUCAGGUCAGUAAAGGUUCUUCAUAUUAGAGGUUUUUGUUAAACUGGAACUAAGUAAAAGGGUCUUCUCUCUUUUGGUAUAUUGUUUAACUCUUCAAAAAAAUUUUAUUAAUAAAAGAUAAUCUCACUUAAGAAGAAAAUUCUGAAAAGAAUCAUUCAAUAAAAGCAUAAAGCUUCAUAUGACUAAAAAAACUGGACAACACCCGUAAGAAAAUAGAAAUUAAUCUAAGAAAUUAAGAAGAAAGAAAUUAUCUACUGAGAAAAGAUGACAACAGAGUUUAUAAAUUUAUCUGUGGAUGGAAUGAAACAUGUAAUAACUGAAUGUGAGUUGGUGAGUGAGAUGAGAAAAGAUUAUCUUUCAGAGGAUGGUAUACUUCAGGUGUCAAAGGAAGAAAAAGACUGGAAUAUUGCACAAUGGAUGGAAAACCAUGGAAAAUAUUCAUGGAAUGGAUGAAACUGGUAUCUGGAAGAAUUGAACAAGAGGACAAAACUCAAGGAAUCAAACCAAUCUGGAUGAAUAAAGCAAUCAAAAUUCUGGAAUCAAUUGUAAACCUUAGAGAUAAUAUUAUGAGAUAUCAUAUGUAACUGAAUAAUCUUUUGAAACCAUAACACAAAAUUAAUACUGUAAAAAAUUAAUCCCAAAAAGCUAAAUGUGACUAAACCAGGGGGCAGUACAGAUUAUCAAUCUGUAAAACUGUUCAGUCAAUCUAUGGCUUGCUUGUAUUUACUUUAUACAUUCAAAUAAAUAAUAAUUAACCAACAAGGAUAAAUUAACUAACAGUCUGGUUAUUGUGAUUCUCACAUUUAAUUGUUAAUCUCUCAUCAUGUAUUUACAAAUCUUUCAUCAAGCUCAUUAUACAUCAGCUGAUUAUCUAAUGCUCAUCAUAUUUGUGUUUUCACUCUUUUUUUUGUUCGGUUCCUUCCUCAUCUAACUCAUCAUCUAUCACCAGCUUUUCCUUAUAAUUUUUGACCUCAAUAUAACCUGACAUGACUUUGGUACCUAUCAUAACAAUAAAAAGGUUGAUGAAUGUUGAGUUAACAAUUAUCCUCUGAUUGUUUUGGUCAAACAAGCUACAAAAGCUCAAAAAAUGGAUAAAAAAGGUCAGCAUCAAUUUACCUGUGUUAUACUUUUCAAGUGAAGACGAUUGUAACAAUAUUGAUGGUGAUGUUGCUCAAUUACUGAUAUUGGAUGUUACCGGAGUCAGCAAACUUAUCUAACAAUCUGGAGACAUUGAUUGAGUUCAACAAAUGAGCAAAUCUAUUAGAGGAAGAUGAAGAGACUUGGCCUGACCUCGUUCAACAUACGAAAUUGAUAUUAACUUGGAAUCAAAUUUAAUCAUUUAAUCACACAAAACAUCAUUUCACAAUGAAACAUUACAAUCUGCCGCUAAUAAUUCACCUCUUCGGAACAAAGUUAAACAACAGCUUAUAAUGUAUAAUGAGAUGGAACCAGCGAGUGUUUUGAUAGACACUUUCAAUUUCAAUCGUUUACAUUAAAUCAUAAAAUUGUAAUCAUCCUAAUCAAAUUAUCAAACAUAAAAAAUCAAACAAAACAUCAUAAUUGAUUCAACUGACAAUCUGAUUAGAAUGAAUAAAUAAUUGUUAAAUAAUUGGUAAAUAGCAAUGUAAAAGUAGCAAGUUUACUGUUUAACUUGUUGCUUCCAGAAAUGAACAGUUUAUUGUAAGUGUUUACUCACACAAGGUUGACAAUAAUUUACCAAUUAUUAGUGAUUAAUUGUCUUGUUAUAUAAUUAUUUAGAGUUGUUGAUAUGUCGCUUAACUGCAAUAUAACAUUCAUCUUCCUGUCGGAAGGUAAUCUCGAGAAUCCUCAAGAUAUUUGGUCAGUUUUACAACUCUAAAUGAUUACAAUAUAACAAUAUAACAUUCCCGAUGACCAUUUGUUUUAUAUCUUCAACCAGUAACACCAGUUGAACAAAAAAGUGCAAAAAGAUUGCCCAUUUAGAUUUAAUUUAACCAUCUACAAUUAACUAUUCAGCUCCAUUACAAGCGUUGUUUUGUGUGUAUUAAACACGCUCUGUACGUGUAGUUAAUAUUAAUCUAAUAUCAUUUCAUUUACAUCAACAAUUUUAAUCAGCCUUCUUUUUGUUCAACUGGUAAAGUCAAUUUCAAUUACAACAACAUCAUCAACAGUAACAAUUAAGGCCUAACUCACGAUUAGGCUUUUACAAUGUUCACAAUUAAUUGACCUGGUUUCCUUUGUCAACCUUUACCAGUUGACCAUUUGUCUUUUCACUUUCCAUUAUAUCCAUGAUACCAUUCAACCAUCCAAGCCCUAAUUUUUCAAUUUUAAUACAUAUUUUGUCUAUUCAAUGAUUGACCAUUUCCGAGUCAAUUGUCAUCAAGCGUGAAAAUAUUCAGCAAAUUAAGUUAAAUAAUCAACUAACAAUUGAUAAUUGUAAGCUCUUCAUUAGAUUGUGAAAAAAGGUGAAACAAAAUUUCGGGUGUAACCAGAAACUUGAUUAUUGUAAAAAUUUGAACUCAUCUGAAAGUCUCGAAACCAAAUCAUUGAUUAGCUUAAAUUUUUCAACUGACAUAUCAAACUACUUCUUUAACCUGUUAAUCUCCUGUUAAAUAGUCUGAUAUUUGUCUGAGAUUAAUGGAAACCUGAUUACAUGAUGAGUUCAAUUUAUCCCAAAGUAAAUUCAUAAUCAAACUGGUCAACCUUGAAAGUGAAUCAAUGUUACUUUAGAUUGACCAGAAAUUAAGAUUAAACAUUGAGCCUCAUAGAAGGUAAAUUUAGCUAAUGAAAAGGUUCUAAUCAAACAUUUGUAUCAUUUUCAGACCAGCUUGGGAAUCAAUUAUUGUUGAACAAUUGAACAAAUCACUCAAAAUGAUCAACUUUUAAGCUUUAUCAUUCACCAAGUUAUCAUCUCUAUUUUCAUCGCCCUGGUUUCCCAUAUACCAUUGAGCUGUACAUUGAUAAAUUGGUAAACAAUUAAUUUUGAUCAUUUCUCAAUCUUUGACAGUUGAAAUUUUCUCACUGUAAACAUAUUGUCAUGAUUUGCACCAUAAUUGUGAUCAAAAUGAUCUGAUUUUAGACUUGAUAUUUGAAGUAAACCCAAAAGAUGAUGAACCAUCAAUUUUCAUUGUUGACCAAAGAAACGCUUUUCAUUAUUAUUAUUAAAAAAAAGGUGAACAGCUAUUAUUA